UGGGGAAUUGUUCGCAAUGGGCGCAAGCCUGACGACGCAACGCCGCGUGGAGGAUGAAGAUCUUCGGGUCGUAAACUCCUUUCGAUCGGGACGAAUUGUCCGCGGGUCAAUACCCCGCGGGCGUGACGGUACCGAGAGAAGAAGCCCCGGCUAACUCCGUGCCAGCAGCCGCGGUAAUACGGGGGGAGCAAGCGUUGUUCGGAUUUACUGGGCGUAAAGGGCGCGUAGGCGGUCAGCACAAGUCAGUUGUGAAAUCUCCGAGCUUAACUCGGAAAGGUCAACUGAUACUGUGCGGCUAGAGUGCAGAAGGGGCAACUGGAAUUCUCGGUGUAGCGGUGAAAUGCGUAGAUAUCGAGAGGAACACCUGCGGCGAAGGCGGGUUACUGGGCUGACACUGACGCUGAGGCGCGAAAGCUAGGGGAGCGA
rnacentral:rRNA from 1 species